rnacentral:rRNA from 1 species
CAGCGUGUGCCUACCCUACGCCGGCAGGCGCGGGUAACCCGUUGAACCCCAUUCGUGAUGGGGAUCGGGGAUUGCAAUUAUUCCCCAUGAACGAGGAAUUCCCAGUAAGUGCGGGUCAUAAGCUUGCGUUGAUUAAGUCCCUGCCCUUUGUACACACCGCCCGUCGCUACUACCGAUUGAAUGGCUUAGUGAGGUCUUGGGAUUGGC